CCACAACCUCAAAGGAGGCUUUGAAGAUCAAGUCAAUACUCAACGGUGCAGGCAAGUCGACUUAAUUUGUGGGGAGCACUUGUUUGCUUGACUCUAAAAAAGGUUAGUGGAACACAACUCGACCCUUGCUCACAUUAUAUGGAGCGCGUCGUAGCGCUAAGAGGGGCCGUCCUCUGGAGGGAAUCAGGGAUCAGAUCUUGGCAAGUCAUCGAGGUGCUUUUCCGGAUUAUGCUGACUGUCAGCACAUCAUGAAUUCAUCACACAUGACCUCACUUUGUCAAAUGCGGGAAUAUCAGGCUACUUCCAUCUUCUACAACUUAUAAUAAAUAAAAACAAUAUGCAAAGUAGGGCUGCAACUACAGAUUAUGUUAAAUACUGACUUUUCUGUUCACAGGGUCCAGAACAAAAGGGUUCUACGCUCAGACAUAUACAAUGUGGCUGACUGCAAAGGACAAUGGGAUUGGUCUUUUCAACUGUCCAAAGAUGGUGGAAGACAGACUGAUACAGCAGGACAUCAAUAGUACCGUCUAAUGGAGACAGAUGUCCUGUCAGGAGGAACAAGGGACAGCCGAGCUCUUGUCUGAAACUCAAUACAACAUGGAUGUAAACAGAGGUGGAAGGAAAGUAUGGUUGACCUUCAUUCAUCAACUUGGGCUGGAGAGGGAACAAAGCUGCCCGAUGGAGAAAAAAACAAUCCAAUUACCGCCUAAUGUGAUUAUCUGAUAUACAUGUUGCAAAAAAAAGAAGAAGAAGAGAGGAUUAUAUAUGGCUGCAACAUCUUGCUCUGAUAUAAGGAGCCUGUUGUUCUGUGCAGAAAGAGAGCAGAUAAUUCUCACAAGACAAAUUUGGCAAUCGGUCUGUGCAGACUGCAUUCAACAUGAGAGUCUGGACAGAAGAUCAGUCACAGCUGCAACAUCAACACUGUUACACAAUGUAGCUGCUCCAUUACAUGAUUUGUGUGGGAGAAGGCCACUUCGGAAUUAAAAGUGUUUAACAGAGUGCA